UGGCCACUCCUUGAACCAAUGUCUGC
rnacentral:misc_RNA from 1 species